rnacentral:lncRNA from 1 species
GACUUACCGGGUGUACAAAUUCUUUUCAUUUUAUCCCUAAUUUUUGCCCGAACCUUUUCUUUCUGUUUUUUUUUUUUGGUUCGACGGGAUGCCCCUUUUUUGCCUGGACUCUUUUUUUCUUUUUGUCCAGCGGGUCAAUUUAUGCGAAGUAUUUUUUGACUACAUCUGAGUUAACAGGAGACGGAAAGUCUUCACCAUCCAUAGUUGUAAGCAUCAAGGCU